rnacentral:rRNA from 1 species
ACUCAGUACCCGAAUUUCUUGACGACCAUAGAGCAUUGGAACCACCUGAUCCCAUCCCGAACUCAGCAGUGAAACGAUGCAUCGCCGAUGGUAGUGUGGGGUUUCCCCAUGUGAGAGUAGGUCAUCGUCAAGA